AUUAGACGAAUCAUCUGGAAAGAUGAAUCAAAGAAGGUAAUAAUCCUGUAGUCGAAAAUGUUGUCUCUCUUGAGUGGAUCCUGAGUACGACGGAGCACGUGAAAUUCCGUCGGAAUCUGGGAGGACCAUCUCCUAAGGCUAAAUACUCUCUAGUGACCGAUAGUGAACCAGUACCGUGAGGGAAAGGUGAAAAGCACCCCGGAAGGGGAGUGAAAUAGAACCUGAAACCGUGUGCUUACAAGUAGUCAGAGCCCGUUAAUGGGUGAUGGCGUGCCUUUUGUAGAAUGAACCGGCGAGUUACGAUUUGAUGCAAGGUUAAGCAGUAAAUGUGGAGCCGUAGCGAAAGCGAGUCUGAAUAGGGCGUUUAGUAUUUGGUCGUAGACCCGAAACCAGGUGAUCUACCCUUGGUCAGGUUGAAGUUCAGGUAACACUGAAUGGAGGACCGAACCGACUUACGUUGAAAAGUGAGCGGAUGAACUGAGGGUAGCGGAGAAAUUCCAAUCGAACCUGGAGAUAGCUGGUUCUCUCCGAAAUAGCUUUAGGGCUAGCCUCAAGUGAUGAUUAUUGGAGGUAGAGCACUGUUUGGACGAGGGGCCCCUCUCGGGUUACCGAAUUCAGACAAACUCCGAAUGCCAAUUAAUUUAACUUGGGAGUCAGAACAUGGGUGAUAA
rnacentral:rRNA from 1 species